rnacentral:rRNA from 1 species
AAAUAUGACUUUAGUCCUAUUUUCGUUGGUUUAGGUACUUCAGUAAUGAUGAAUAGAAACGGUUAGGGGCAUUUGUAUUUGGUCGCUAGAGGUGAAAUUCUUGGAUUG